rnacentral:ncRNA from 2 species
UGAAUAAUUAAUCUCCGAGCCAGAAUGACCUAACGAGCAAAUCUAUGGUCGCUGGACAGGGCCUUGGCCCUCAGGGUGUUCCCAGAAAUAGGUAUGCCUUCACGUUUUGAAAAGGAGUAGCUCAUAUUAGACU